UACGGGGGGAGCAAGCGUUGUUCGGAUUUACUGGGCGUAAAGGGCGCGUAGGCGGCCAGCGCAAGUCAGUUGUGAAAUCUCCGGGCUUAACUCGGAAAGGUCAACUGAUACUGCGCGGCUAGAGUGCGGAAGGGGCAACUGGAAUUCUCGGUGUAGCGGUGAAAUGCGUAGAUAUCGAGAGGAACACCUGCGGCGAAGGCGGGUUGCUGGGCCGACACUGACGCUGAGGCGCGAAAGCCAGGGGAGCGAACGGG
rnacentral:rRNA from 1 species